rnacentral:rRNA from 1 species
AGCGAACGCUGGCGGCAGGCCUAACACAUGCAAGUCGAACGAACUCUUCGGAGUUAGUGGCGGACGGGUGAGUAACACGUGGGAACGUGCCUUUUGGUUCGGGAUAACUCAGGUAAACUUGUGCUAAUACCGAAUGUGCCCUUCUGGGGAAAGAUUUAUCGCCAUUAUAGCGGCCCGCGUCUGAUUAGCUUGUUGGGGAGGUAACGGCUCACCAAGGCGACGAUCAGUAGCUGGUCUGAGAGGCUGACCAGCGACACUGGGACUGAGACACGGCGCAGACUCCUACGGGAGGCAGCAGUGGGGAAUCUUGCGCAAUGGGCGAAAGCCUGACGCAGCCAUGCCGCGUGAAUGAUGAAGGUCUGAGGAUUGUAAAAUUCUUUCACCGGGGACGAUAAUGACGGUACCCGGAGAAGAAGCCCCGGCUAACUUCGUG